GCAAUGAGUUGCAUAAUGGGAAGUUGAUUGUGCAGAAUUGGGGAUUUCGGAGUUGGCCUGAUGGGAUUCAGUCAAUGGCUAUCCCACUAAGAGUUAAUCUUUAUGUGAAUGAAAUACUCCAAAGCUUACCAACAUUUAGGAAUCUCAAUCAUUUGAACUUGGACCUCUAUUCAUAUUGAACUAAACGUGAAGAUGUUGAUCUGGUGCCUGAUUCCAAAUUCUAACAAGACUGAUAAGGCUUCAAUGCUGGAUGAAGCAGUUGAGUAUUUGAAGCAGCUCCAGCUGACCAGCUUCAGCUGACCAGCUUCAAGUACAGAGGGGAGAAAGGAAGAAACAGAAGAAGGGGGAGACGGGAAGGACAGAAGAGGCAGGGAAAUCCAAAAGACGAGACAGAUUCAAGGAUAUGUCUGCUGGAACAAGGAACAACUUUGAAAACAAGUUUUGGGCCAAAAGCCAAGAUAGUGGCAGCAUCCAUUCAUUUUAUGAUGUCGGUGCUAAUCCACUUGACAAACAAGUAUCAAUAUCAAAAUCUGACAAGAGGAGGCGAUUAAUGUUAAAGGGUACCGUUGGUAGCAGUAUUCAAGAUGUGACAAACCAGGGCACAUUUUGCUUUCUGGCUAUGAUUUCUGGUAACAACCGCUGCAUAAGACAAUGAUAAGCACAUCAUGGGGUGCCCCCGCUGCUUUCACCAAAGGUUUCAACCUUCAGCAUGUCUCUGAUG